CCCUUGGCCUUGACAUACUAAGAACUUUCCAGAGAUGGAUUGGUGCCUUCGGGAACUUAGAUACAGGUGCUGCAUGGCUGUCGUCAGCUCGUGUCGUGAGAUGUUGGGUUAAGUCCGCAACGAGCGCAACCUUUUCCUUAUUGCCAGCGGGUAAUGCCGGGAACUUUAAGGAUACUGCCAGUGACAAACUGGAGGAAGGCGGGGACGACGUCAAGUCAUCAUGGCCCUUACGGCCAGGGCUACACACGUGCUACAAUGGUCGGUACAAAGGGUUGCUACCUCGCGAGAGGAUGCUAAUCUCAAAAAGCCGAUCGUAGUCCGGAUCGCAGUCUGCAACUCGACUGCGUGAAGUCGGAAUCGCUAGUAAUCGCGGAUCAGAAUGCCGCGGUGAAUACGUUCCCGGGCCUUGUACACACCGCCCGUCACACCAUGGGAGUUUGUUGCACCAGAAGUAGGUAGUCUAACCGCAAGGAGGACGCUUACCACGGUGUGGCCGAUGACUGGGGUGAAGUCGUAACAAGGUAAGCGUAGAUGA
rnacentral:rRNA from 1 species